UACGUAGGGGGCUAGCGUUGUCCGGAUUUAUUGGGCGUAAAGAGCGUGUAGGCGGCUUUGCAAGUCCGUUGUGAAAACUCGAGGCUCAACCUCGAGACGCCGGUGGAAACUGCAAAGCUAGAGUCCGGAAGAGGAGAGUGGAAUUCCUGGUGUAGCGGUGAAAUGCGCAGAUAUCAGGAGGAACACCCGUGGCGAAGGCGGCUCUCUGGGACGGUACUGACGCUGAGACGCGAAAGCGUGGGGAGCGAACAGG
rnacentral:rRNA from 1 species